AUUAAAAUGGCGACUCUAAGGACGUGGAAGGAAUAAUUUUUUAACGAUAAGGUUUGUUGUCCACACCAACGUUGCAUGGAUAAAACUGCCUUCUUUAACAAAGCAGCUUCAAAACAACAUUUAUACAUUUUACAAGAUUCCGCAGGCCCUCUCGAAAUCAUGACCUUCCCAUGACACAGCGUGGGCCUGCGGAGGAGGCAGAUUUAAAUGGUCCGUUGGAGCCUGGCACUAGUUAUAGUAUUUCUUAAAGGAUUAAUUAUCAUCAAUAAAAAGGUAUGGUAUUAGGAGAGAGUAAAGAGGGAGCAAGCAGGAAACCUUCAGUCAAUUAUAAUAUGUCAUUUUCAGACCCUCCGCUCGGAAGAUUCGGCGAAACUGAUCUUACGUUCAGUGAUUAUAUUAGGGAGCUUAAGC